rnacentral:lncRNA from 10 species
AAAAAAAAAAAAAAACAAAACAAAACUGGUAGUUAUAAACCUACCUACUUCUUUUAAUAAGAGUCAGUAAUGGCUAAUGUUUAUUGAGUACUUUUUAUAUACCUGCACUGUUAAUAACACUGCAUAUGUAUUAAUUUAAUGCUAACAACCUCAUAAGAUAGAGACUAUUGAUCUAUAUCUAUAGUAUCAUAAGAUACUAUAGGUAGUCUCUAUCUAUAUACUAUAGGUAGUAUCUAUAUACUAUAGGUAGUAUCUAUAUACUAUCUAUAGUAUCAUAAGAUAGAUACUAUUGUUCCCUUUUUGCAGAUGUGGAAUACAACUAGUAAUUGGUAGACGAUGGAUCUGAAUUUAACUAGUCUGGAUUCAGAACCCACACUCCUAGCCACUGUACUUUUCUGCAGCCCUUCAGUGCACUAAAAGGCAGAAAUCUAACAUAAGUAGGAUAAUUCUCCAUCCUGAGUGAUUGUUGAAAGCUUUUAAAAGCUUUGCUUAAUCACUGGAUCCCACAAAGGAAAAUGCUGAUUAAAGAACACACAGUACUUUAAAAUGCAUGUUUUUUCUAUAAGGUAGACAAAUGGGACUACAGUAAGCAUACUCAGAAAGUACUCAGAAUUAAUGUUCAUUUCUUCUGAGAAAAUACUAGAAAGCUCUGUAAACCAUUAAUUCAAUAUUCUGAGACAUGUUUAUUACUGCUUUUUAUGUUGUUGAAGUCUUAUUAGAAAUAGCCCAGGUGGUUUGAUCAUGAUACAGUGCUACUUGAAAAUAUAUCAAAGGUCCACUAUCCGAGCUUUGAUCAAGAAUUUUUCAAUUGCUUCUUUUUUCCCUGCUUUCAUCACACUGCUGUUUUUUCAGCAUAAUCGAACAGCUUAUGACAUUGUAGCAGGAACCAUUGUGGUAAAAAGAAAUGGGGUCAGAUGAUGCCCCCCAAAACCCUGAUUUCCACACACUAAGACUAAAUUAUGUAUCAAGGCCAUCAGUAUCCCUGGGUUACACUAAUUGAUGAUUUAGAAAUUAAAGCAGUCACUCCAGUGUGAUGCAGGUGACUACUCUGAAAGUAUUGAUUAUACUUGAAUGCCAAAGAACUUGUCCAGAAGAAAAACCUGUUAAAUUCAAGUAUUAAAAUUUUUAGAUCAAAAAGGCAAAUGAUUUUAUAAACAAUGGACAAUAUAUACUUUCUUAAGAUCUAAGGUACUUUCUUAAGAUCUAAGAAUUUGCUGAAAGCAUUUUCAGCUUUGAAAUCUCCAAAUGAAACUUUAAAAUUUAUUUUGGUUUAUCCCAAAAUAAUGGAAAAUGUCCAGUUGUGUUUUGUAAACACCUAUGUAACUCAUCUUUUAGUUUACACUUCCUGGGGAAAUUGUCUUUGGUGUUUAGAGGAGGGAAUGAGAACACAAAUUGGAUAAUCCACUGUCUCCCAUCCCAGGAGGUGGUGAGUUGGCUACAAGAGAAAGGGACAAGUGAGGCAGGCCUAGCAGUUCCCUUACCUGAAGUUUUCAAAUCCAUACUGCAGUUCCCUCUCGUAAUGAUGUAACUUUACAACUAUUCUUAAUGCUUGAACAUGUAUUUAGGGGCAAGUUUCUCAUGAUGAUGAAAAAGUAUCAAGUCAUAUUGCUAUGUUAAUUGGUUUUUUUUUUUAAAAGGUAAGUUAGUGAUUACUGUUAAUGGUGGGGGAGUAAGUUUUCACUGUAAAUUGAACUUAUAAUUUAUGUGCAAGUGUUUUCAGUGCCCUGAAUCAAACUAUAAAUGUGGGGAGAAAUCACCUCCAUCAAACAGUUGCAUAUUUACUGUAAAAGUAUUCCCAGUAUGUGUGCAGCAUGAAGAAAGUAUUAGUGCUUCUCAGUGUUCUCAGUGUAAAUUCUAUUUAUAUACAGCAUAUUCACAUACUACUUUCCUUAUAUUUUAUAUAGUUCUAUGACUGUUGAAACAUCAAGGAGUUAAAAAAAUCUUAAUAUUUCAUGAUUAACUCUAAGUACUAUUAAUUAAUAGCUUGCGAAAUAUUAGCAAUUUUCCCAUUAUGGACUAUUCUCUCUAAAGCAAGAGAGACUAGCAUUCCCAGACAUCAUUCUAGGGUCUUUAAGCUCAUUUUGGGUCUGCUAAAGUUUGGGGGGAAAUGUUACGCAAAGUGAUACUGUGUAUGUUGCCAUUUUGCUUUAUUCUUCUGUUGAAGCAAAAUUGUGGGGUUUUAUUAUGUGUGUGUGCUUUUCCUAGAUGUCCCAGUUAGCUGUGCUGAGAUAUACCUGUACUAUUUAUGGUUUAAGUUUUGAUUCUUAGGUAUUUUCUCCAGCUCUGACAUUGUUUUCCAAAGACACACUAAACUGCAUUGCACAGUUCAAAAUUUGAUUACUUAAGGGAUCAAUCUAGGUGGUGUUCUUGGUCUUAAAUUUAACAGCAAACACAGCACAUAUCUAUUAUCACUAUAUUAAUUUUCAAAGGUUUUUCUUUGACGUUUAAAACUGUGACAACAGAUAUUCACAUUUGAUUAUAGAAACUUAAUGUCUAUUAAUAAUUUUAGUACAAAAUUUCAUAAACCGUGUUUUUCAAAAUAAGUUUAUGUCAAAUCCAGCUUCCCAGAAACACUAAUAAUUAAGUACAUCAAUGUACUAAAUAAAUCAUUCAGUUGCACCCAUGGGGAAGAUUGUGUUACUGCCCUUCACAGUGAAAAAAAGAAAAAUCUUUCAUUUUUAAAAUUAGGAGAUGUUACGUAACUUGGCACUUUAGUAGUGUAUACACUAGCAUUAGUUUAUACACCACUUUUGCCGCUGGGGAAUUCAAGUUGAAAUGUCCCUCAAUCAUAUAGGUCUGGAAUACAUCUUUCAUUCAUAAUUUCUGCUCAGAUAAUUGAAUAGUUUGCCAUCGAGAUUAUUUUCAUUUAUACUAUAAAACAAAAGCAAACUAGUCCAGUUUAAUUUUUUGUACUUAGAAUAUUGCACAUUUUCUAUAUAUGAGUUAUUCAGAUUAGUAUCUAUGUAGGUUCAGUCAGAUCCAACCAUGGAUUCGAGGUAUUAUACUGUAUAACCCUACAAAAUACAUAGAAGUAUUAUUUGCCUUCAUAAUAGAACCCAAGAGUCUGUUUCAAUUUAUGAAUUCAGUAUUUGCACCGAGAUUUUGAUUCCCAAAGUUUGGAAAAAAAUGACAAAACAACGAGGGAAGAAGGAACCAGACCUUAGUGCCACAUAUUUUUCUCUUGGGGUUGUAAGGUAGUCUCCUGCUUUCCAGAACACUUUAUUAUAUUUCACUUAUAGACCUGAUUUUCUGUGUCAAAGUAUAAUUCUCAUGCUGAAGCUGUAGCCUAAAAAGCCAAAAGAAAGUUGUCUUCAUUGUACAAACAUAUUCAUCACUUUAACAAUAAGGGAACAAAAUUUAGUAUUCAAGCUGAGUGAGAAUACUGUUUCAAUGAGCAUGUCCCUAAGAUAAACCAGAAUUGGCAGUUAAUUUAGGCGUCUAGAAAAUCUCAGUUCCCACCAGUAAAAUUAUCCUGAGUAGCUAAUGCACCUUGAGAAAAAUCUGGCAUACUGAAUAAAUAACAUUAACUUGGGAGCCAAGAGCUGGGUAAGCCUUACCUUUAGACUACUCUGUGACUACAGAAAUAAAGCCAGCACUUUUGGAACUAAUAAGCCUUCACUUGUCAGUAUCAUAAAGAGUAUUGCCCAACUGAACUUUGCUCCCACUGGUUUAAUAGUUACUUAUUUCUGCCUAAGCACUCACCUUCCGAUUUUACCCAAGUAUAUAUAUAGGAUAGAAAAAAAUGCAUUAUAUUUGAGAGCUACUUCGCCCAAAUUACAAAAUGAGUGUUUUUAGAUUCAAGUGACAGUAAAAGGAUUUGUUCCCUUCAGUGACUUGAGUGUUUUAGUUAUGCAUAAGUAUUUCUAGCAAAGGAAGGGUAGAAAGGAAUUGAAAAUUAAUUUACACUAGUUGCUACUUGGGAAUAAAGGGCUUUUUGAGGGGGGUAUGGAUAUUAAAUGUUUUCGUUAUAUACUUAUCCCUAUUAAAACAGGCAGUUGUUUCUUUGAAUAUGCCUAAAUAACAGUAUUCUUAAAAUCUGACAGACAAGUAACAUGUCAAUUACUUGAUAUUCCUUGUCUCCAGUACCACAGGCCACUCUUGACAUCCCAUGUUUGCCUGGAUAAAGUUCCUCAUUUCAAACAGUAUACAUACUUCUUUGCAGUUCAUUAUAGUAAGGCUUAACCUGUAAACAGUAUCUGAUGGCCCACCUAUAAAUAAAAUUCAGCAUUCUAUUUUUAAUAAUUUGUAUGCCACCAAUUUGUAUUAUUUGUCUCAAUAAAUACUUAGUCAUCAAUGCA